rnacentral:rRNA from 1 species
AGGAUGAACGCUGGCGGCGUGCCUAAUACAUGCAAGUCGAGCGAACCACUUCGGUGGUGAGCGGCGAACGGGUGAGUAACACGUAGGUGAUCUGCCCAUCAGACGGGGACAACGAUUGGAAACGAUCGCUAAUACCGGAUAGGACGAAAGUUUAAAGGUGCUUCUGGCACCGCUGAUGGAUGAGCCUGCGGCGCAUUAGCUAGUUGGUAGGGUAAAGGCCUACCAAGGCGACGAUGCGUAGCCGACCUGAGAGGGUGAACGGCCACACUGGGACUGAGACACGGCCCAGACUCCUACGGGAGGCAGCAGUAGGGAAUCUUCGGCAAUGGGCGAAAGCCUGACCGAGCAACGCCGCGUGAAUGAUGAAGGCCUUCGGGUUGUAAAAUUCUGUUAUAAGGGAAGAACGACUUUAGUAGGAAAUGGCUAGAGUGUGACGGUACCUUAUGAGAAAGCCACGGCUAACUACGUGCCAGCAGCCGCGGUAAUACGUAGGUGGCGAGCGUUAUCCGGAAUUAUUGGGCGUAAAGAGCGCGCAGGUGGUUGAUUAAGUCUGAUGUGAAAGCCCACGGCUUAACCGUGGAGGGUCAUUGGAAACUGGUCGACUUGAGUGCAGAAGA